rnacentral:lncRNA from 1 species
UAUUCAUUUGGGCCUAACUCGGGUGGGUGGCAGGCGUAAAGCACACAUGUGGCGGUGGGGCUCAGGCAGCUUUUGGCAGAAAUAUUUAUCGUAACACUCUCCCUCCAACAAGGCCACACCUGCUAAUCCUUCUCAGGUAUUGCCACUCUUUGAUGACUGAUCAUUCAAAUAUAUGAGCCUAUGGGGGCCAUUCUUAUUCAAACCGCCACACAAGAGGUCAUGGAAGUAGCAUAAGUUAAUGAAGUAAGCUGGUACCAGGGAGACAGUGGGAGUAUCAGGCACUGUGGUGAACUGUCAAGACCAAGGCCAGCUGGAGGAUAUUUGCUCUGGCCAUUAUUUAAAAGAAGAUUGAUACGCAGGUCUUUGUGAACAGUUCCUGGUUUACAGGUGUUGUUUGAUAACUUAAAUCAAAGGAGAAUGGAUCUUCCAAUAAGGCAGAACAAAACCUGUCAGAAGUUUAAAUUUUUAUUCUGAGCUGUAUUUUUCAGCAUGAAGAUAGAACAUGGAAAUAGAGUGGGAACUGACACUGCCUACCCUGCCAGAGAAUGUAGGCAGCACAUGUGGCCAGUCCUGCUCCAUAGAAGACAAAAUUGAAGCAGAGAGAGUCUUUCAACUUCCCCCAACCACAUUUCUCUGUGUGACAAGAGACAAUUGGGCUACCUCCUAGCUGGCCUGUAAUUGGAUGGGUAGAAAGCACUUUCAACAGUCCCAGUGAUCACACUCUCAGUAGUCAUUGUGCUUUAAUUGCAUUCUCUCAGGUUAGGUAUUUUUUGGAAAACAUUGAUAAAUCUUUUGUCUUCUCUUAGUAUCUAGGUCUCCUCUGAUAAAUGUCACAACAUUGUGUUUGGAGUUUGCAGUGGUUGGGGACUUUUGAAGUUGGAUUAAAUGUAUUUUGCAUUAUGAUAUUGUUGCAAGCUUAUAGGGGUCAGGGAUGGAAAUUGGUAGUUUGAAUGUAAUUGGCCCCCAUAAUCUCGUAGGGAGUGGCACUUUUAGGAGGUGUGGCUUUGUUGGAUAGGUAUGGCCUUGUUGGAGGAAGUGUGUUACUGUAGGGGAGGGCUUUGAGGUUUCAUAUAUGCGCAAGCCAUGCUCAGUGUCUCAGACCACUUCCUGUUGCCUACAAGUCAAGAUGUAGGACUCUCAGCUCUGUCUCCAGCACCAUGACUGCUGCAUGCUACCAUGAUUGAUAAUGGACUAAUCAUCUGAAAAUGUAAGCCACCCAAUUAAAUGUUUUCCUUCAUAAGAAUUGCCAUGGUCAUGGUGUCUCUUCACAACAAUAGAAACCCUAACUAAGAUAGAGUUUUAUCUCUCAUUGUUCCUGUUUCGGCUCAUCUCUCAUUUUCUUACUUCUUUUCCCCUGCUCCUCCUCUGCUAUGUGUCAAGUCCAAAGGAAACUGGAUUUUCCCAAAUCCUGAUGGUUAGCCAAAAGCUAGCAGUCCUUAUGAACUUGUGAAACUGGUUCCUUCUACCAAAGGAGCUGUUUCCCUUAGCACUGGAAGAAGGGGCAAAUGACUAUCUGUGGUGCCUAUUAGCAUAUCCAAGUGCAUGCUGGCCUUCAGGCUCUCUCAGCAUCACAAGUACCUGUUACACAUUUCAGAGUCUAUGCUAGCAUCUCAGCUAUUCUCACCUUUUCCUCCAUCCUAAACUUCUAGAACUCAUGGGCUCCCCUCCUCCCAGCUUCUCAUUUCUUUUUAUAACCAUGUUAUUUUAGCUAUGUAUUCUCUGGAUACUUCCUUUGUCUUCUUCCCCCACCCCCCUUUCCCUACCUCUCUCUCUGCUCUGCUCUACUCCUGUUUCCCUCAUAGCCAGAUCCAGUUUGCUGGCCAUGGUCACUUUACUGCUUUCUUUCUCUGCUCUGAACUCUUCCAGAUGCCUCUAGCUGUUUUCUCCCUCGUAUCUACAACAAAAAACCUUUCCCACAACCAUACCACGGAGUCAGUCAUGUGGUCAGUUUAUACACUACAUACAUUCAAAGAGUAACAUCUUUUGCCACCAAGUGAAACCUCCAGUGUCAGAAACAGGUUAAAUAUAAUUAAGUUGUUGGGAAAAAAAUGGGCUACCAUGGAAUUCCCCAAACAACUUGGGCUAUUGCCAAGGCUAUUGAUUGCUUUCCAGAAACUGAUGGCAAGGCCCAAUUGCUGAAGACGGCUCUUACGUGCCUCAUUGAACCCAGAGAAGCAAAGGUAGGGCCUACUUAGAGUCUUCACUUCUGCUGACUAGUAUUCACAGAACUGGAAGGUACUUGGUACACUACCAUAGGAUAAUGAUAAUCACCAAGGCAGCUACAAACCCUUCGAUCUACAAUGGUGACCCACAUGCAUGAUGCACUGGUAUAACUGUGGCACAAAAAUUGUGGGAGUGACUACCACUAUUUGAUUCAAUUUAAGGCCUACUCCGUUAGACAGAACCUAUGACUGAUACAGGUUAGGUGGCCAAGAUCUCAAGACUAGGUAAUCAGGCAGUGGGUCUAGGUGAAAUACUAUUGUUAUGCUACUAGAACAGCAAUUCAAUGACUCCUAAUGACAUUCUGUGAUACUCAUAGAUCAGUGUUUCAUUUAGCAUUAUCCUCUUGCUGUAGAUGGGAACUAAUACAGAAGCUCACAACAGGACAAAGUUCAGAAAGUGAGAGACCUUAGGAUACUCACUCCUAAAUGUGGUAUUUUUAUCACACUCCUUCCCUCAGGAGGUGGGGUAGGGGAAACCUUGCAGAAGAGGAGGCAGAAAGAUUGUAAGAGCCAGAGGGGAUGGAUGACACCAAAGAAACAGUAUCUUCUAGAUUCAGCAAGACUGACACACAUACUGACCUACAGGGACUGGCAGGAUGUACAAGGCCUGCACAGGUCCAGGCCAGAUGGGGUCUUAGCACUGAGAGGGGGAAGUGGACGUGAGCUCCCAUUCUAUACUAAAAAAUUAUCUCUGAUGAUAACUGCUUGCAAAGGAAAAAUUAGUUCUCUCCAACGGAGUCUCACUGGGCAUACAAACCACGCUUGUGAGUGGGCCCAUACCUAGCAGCAGAUAGCCAACAUUAAAUGAACUCAAUGAUAUUUUUGUAGAUGUUUUUUUUUUCUCACAUGACUUUGGCAUUUUGGGUUUUGUUUGUUUUUUUACCUUACUGGUUUUUGUUUGAAUAUUAUGGUUCCCAAUUUUGUAUUUUUGUUUUGUUUUGUUUUUAUUCAUUUAUUUAUUUUACAUCCUGGCUGCAGCCUCCCUCCAUCCUCCCCUUCCAGUCCCUGCUCCCCAUCCCCAUCCCCCAAUCCUCUCCAUCUCCAUCCAGAAAGGUCAGAUCUUCCAUGAGUAUCAAUAAAACAUGGCAUAUCAAAUUAUAGUAAGACUGUGCACCUUCCCGUGUAUUAAGGCUUGGCAAGGCAACUGAGUAUGAGAAGUGGGGUUCCAAAAGCCAGUAAAAGAGUCAGAGACAGCUCCUGUUCCUGCAGUUAGGAGUUCCACAAGAGGAACAAGCUACCAAUUUUAUGUUUUUAUGGGUUUUAUUUUUGUGUUCAUAUGUGUCUCUUUGUGCAUAUUCUCAUGCUUUUCUUUUCUUUUAAAUCUGGUUUGUUUUUAUUUGCCUGUUUGUUUUCUAAAGAAAGAGAAAGAAGAAAUAGAGUUGGAUGGAUAGGGAGGUGGAAAGGAUCUGGAAGGAGAUGGGGUAAGGAAAACUAUGAUCAGAAUAUAGUGUAUAAAAUUAUUUUCAAUAAAAAUAAAAUAAAUGGCAGUAAGAAAAAAAUUGACACAUUAGAAUCCCAAGAAAUGUGUACCUUGACUUACAAGGAUUGAUUCAUUCACUUUGGUCCAGUGUACAUUUUCAUUUUUACCAGUAACUUCUUGUAUUUUUAAAAUAUUCUUCUUAUUAUUCAUUUACAUGUAUGCAUGUUUAUCUGUGUAUGUGUAUGUGCCUGAGUUGGUCAGAGGCAUGUCACAUCCUCUGGAGCUGGAGUUAUAGGCAGGUGUGAGUUGCCUGAUGUGGGUGCUGGAAAUUCAACUUGAGUCUUCUGUUCUUACAUACUCUUAACUACGGAGCCAUCUCUCCAGCUGUACCCACCCCCCCCACCAGUAACAUUAAAAACAUUAUCUUUAUGUGACUUUUACAAGUGUCUUUAAUUUUCUUCAGAAGUAAGAAGAAGACCUCAUUUGCAGUGUUUGGCUCUGUCUUGUUUUUCUGUGUAUCUGUCUCUAAACAUAUGAACCCAACAAGCCUCCGCUCACCAUCAGGUUGAAAAUGAAUUGAAAACAAUUCCAGGCUCCUGGUUUGUCCUGCCAGUGACCUUUGUUGCAUUCCAGGAGGAGGUGUCGUCUGUGGGUUCUGCCCUGGGGCCAGUGGUGUCUCUUGGUGACUGCCCAGCACCAGCUGUCUCUCACCCCCAAGGGCAAUCAUGUGCCUGCCACAGAUCUGAAUCAUCACUGCAGGGACAAAAGCCAGGCCAGUCACUUCUUACAAAUCUCUUCUGAUUACAAAACCUAUAUAGCCCACUAUCCAAGCUGCCACAUUCGCAUGACCUGGACCCAUGAAAUAGGUGUUUCUCCUAGAGGCAACAUUUGAAGGAAACUAACCUUAACAGAUGCUCCAUCCCUGUCACUCAUCUUUGCUGCAUGAACUUACUCCAAAUUCCAGCUCGGCACUAGACAAUGUCUUUCACCAUGACUUGAAUAAAGCCAUUUUUUGUUUGUUUGUUUAAUCUUAACUCCUGUCUAAUAGGUCUAAGUGAAAAUGCUACCAUUUCUACAGAGUGUAUAGCAGGCCAGGCAAUCCCAGAGUCCACUUAUAGAGGCAGAAACUCAGCUCCAUGAGUUGAACGACUUGCCUAAGGACACAGAGUGAACUCAGCAGCUACUGCCAAAGCCCUCUACCUCUAAGCCAUUCUCUAAUUCCAGACAGGCUUAAACACGAACUUUCAGAUGCCACCUUCUCACACUUCCCAGUCCUUUUUUCUACCAUUCCAUCUGGCAAAUGCCAUAAAUAUCUGCCCUAGAGAUAUUUAUGCAGAGUGCUUCGAGCCUACUUCCUUGUCUCAUGUCUACCUGUCCACUCACCAUUUCCACACCGGCCAUGCGCCCUUUCGCAUUCUACCCUUCUGAGUUCUUGCCCAUUCCACUCCACUCCACUCAGAAUUCAAAUUCCUAGCCUUCUGUGAUUGGGUUAUGGGUUGAAUUGUGUCCCUGUUCAUAUAUCUAACUCACAUGUCGGAAGACUUGACCCCCAAUAACUCAAUGUGACCUUAUUUGGAAGUGUUGUCACUGUAGUUGCAAUGAAGCAGGGUAGACAUCUCAAUGCAACAUGCAUGUUGUCUUUACACAAAAAGAGAUUUGGCCACAAAUACACACAGAGAGAAUAGAGAUGAAGGUAAGGACCAUGGUGAUGGUUCCAUGAGCCAAGGGAUGCCCAAGACUGCCAGCACCCCCAGAGCUGGGAGCAGCAGAUCCUUCCUGACAGCCCUCAGGGAAUCAACACCACUGACCCUUCAUCUCAGACUGCCAGCUUCUAGUACUGAUGGACAAUAUAUCGUUAAGCCACCCAGUUUGCAAUAUUUUUAACAACCUAGCUAACAUUCCAGUCCAUUUCGCAAGACCCAGUACAAGUGUUUCCGCCUCUAACUCCCUAAGCCAUUUCUAAGGGUGAUCAGGCUGCUGUAGCAAAAUAUCACAGGCAUGUUUUAUGCAAACAGAAGACUAAGUUUACCUCUAACGGCUCUGAAGGCUGCUGUCCAGUGAGGGUUUGUGUCUUCAGUUAGUCAUCCUCUCACUUGGUCCCCAAAUGUCAUAAGGGAUAAGGGUCUCUCUGGAGACCUUUUAUAAGACUUUUAAUCCCAUCCAGAAGGGCUCUGUUCCACAAUCUACUCAUCUCCCAAAGGCUCUUCUUCCUAAUACCAUUACCUUAGGGUGAGAAUUUAACAUUUGAACAUGACAGGGUUUCCUGUAUGUGUGGGCAGCUGGGGAUAGGUGGUGACACAAACAGUCACACCACAGUAUGCUGUAGCAUAAUCACUUUUUCUAUGUCUCUGCUGUUUACAACAGAAGCUGAGGUUUUAAGAGCAAGCCAGCCCCCUUUCUCUCUGUGCUCAGUAAAUGCAUGCUGAGAAGAAGACUGAGGAAUGGCAUAUUCUUGUUGGUACACCCAAUCUGGCUGUUUGCCUAGGCUGCAAUUCUUUGAUUAGUAGAAAGAGGACUGAGCUGAGAUUCUGGUCUCCAAAGAGACAGCUUUGAGUUGAAUCAGCUUCCCAGAUGUGCCCUGGGUUCACAGAACCAAUCCAAAGAGAAGCAAAAAUCUGAACUGGUCGUAAAGGCUUUUUAUCAGGGGUGAGAGCAGAACAUUUCACAAACCAGAGGGGAGAGGCUACAAGUUCAGUCAUGAGAGGCAGGAGAAGGAGGCAGGGAUACAGGAGAGCUUGACCAGUCGAAGUCUAGGCUUGUGUAUAGAGGGAAACAGAUUACAACACAGCCUGGUGCCUGCUGCCUGAGUCCCAGAUCAGUUCCAUGGACUCCUGUCUGGAUUGAGGAGAAAGACUGAGCCAUUAGAAAAGCUGGACAAAUCUCUUCCCUGAAAGCCAUGUGGUACUCUGGGCCCUCAGCAGCUUAGCCUGUGUUGAUGCCCACUAUGUCAGAGGUAGGAGGAGAGCAGGUAGACAGUGCCGUGUUCUCUUGCAGAUCACACCCCGUUGGCAUUGUGGGAAGGGGCAACAUGGCUGCUGUGCUGACAUCAUGAGCUGCUUCAAGGUCACUUUCAUCCUAGAAUGUCUUCUUAAAAACUUGGGAGCUAAGGUUUUAUGUCACCUCUCGGGCUCAAGGAAAGAGUGGAGGACCCUGGAAUUUGACUUGGGGUGGUGGUGGUGUGCAUGAUGGGUACAUGUGUGUUGCAGACACAGCACCACUGAGUAGCUAAGUCACAAUAUAAUCACUAAUACCAACUCUCAGUGCAAAGAGCCCAAAAUCAUUUUCAUAAUGUUGAAUGACACUGGUUCUUGCAGAUUUGCCAAGUUUCUAAGGUCACCAUAAGGUAGAAACUUAGACUCCACAAUUGCAAGAGACUUCAGUGAUCAAGGGCAGUGAAUUAUGACUUUAGCUGUACAAUGGGGGGAUUCUUUUUUAACGCAAAGGUUGUGAUUGGAGGUGUAAUUCAACAGCAGAAUGUUUGCCCAGCAUUUUAAAGGCCCUGUGUUUGAGUCUCAGCACUGAGAAAUAAUAAAUAAACGAGAACAUUUUUAUAAAGGUUACCCUCACCAGAUCAAUUAAAUCAGAAUUCCUGGGCUAGAACCAAGUAUUAUAUAAUUCUGCUGAUUUGUGUUAAGAUUUGUGGAGAUUUGAAUGAAAAUGGACACCCCCCUCGGGUCAUAUAUUUGAAUGCUUGGUUUUUAGUUGGUAGAACUGUUUGGGAAGGAUGUUUGAAAAGUAUGGCCUUGUUGAAGGAGGUGUGUCACUGGGGUUGACUAUGAGGUUUCAAAAAGCCUGCACCAUUGCCAAUUAAUCCUCUUUGCCUCGGGCUUGUGCAUCAGAUGUGAGCACCCAGCUAUUGCUCCAGCACCAUGUCUACUGCCUGCUGUCAUGAUUUCCACCAUGAUGUCCUUUUUCAUCCUCUGAAACUGUAAGCAAGCCCCCCAGUGAAGUGCUUUCUUUAAUAAGUUGCCUUGUGUCACUUCACACCAAUACAACAGUGACUAAGACAAAAACACAACAGCUUAAUGUUUUCAUUGUCAACAAAAUUAAGUGAUAGCAUGAUUCAUAGGAGAGAAAUAAAAAGCUAUUUAAAGAACAGGACUAUGUUUUUUUCAGAGGUAGGACUCUGAAUCAGGUGCACUGGGUUCAACUCGUAGCCUGUCACUUACUUUCUGUGAACCUAGAAGACAUUACUUGGUCUCUUGUUUUCUUCAUAUUUCAAAUGAAAACAGUAGCUACCAUCUCACAAGGCAGUUGUGAGUGCUAGCUUGAAUUGUAUUGUCCAAGUGCCUCAAACUACACUUGGCAUGAUGCUCAAGUGCUGUACAAACAGUUGUUAUUACUUUCUCACAGGGCAAGCUUUUCACAGAACCAGGCUUAUACUUGAAAUUUAUGAGACAGUUUUCUGUCUCAUAAAUAGGCUUUCAUACGGGAUUCUGCCUUUGGAACAAGGGGCGCAGAAAUUAAAAACGCAUGUAUGUAUGCACAUUGGGCAAUUAAUAAUCUACAGCUUUGAUGUUAUGUCAGAAAAGAUGAAUGGUCUCAACUAUCUAGCAGAUGCCAUUCUAGGAACCAACACCUAGGACAUUAGAAAUGGCCAUGAGGAAAAUGGCUCUAGGAUUAAAAUGAAAAUCUUUUUUUUUUAUGAUGUGGAGUGUUUCAAGCAAAAUGGAAUUGCGUUUAUGAAUCUGCAUCUUAUAAAAUUAUAUUUCUAGGGGCUAAAGGGAAUUAUCAUGAGCCUUCAUUACAGUUCAAGGGAUGGGCAAUAAAAAUGCUUUCUGAGAGAGAGCAGGCAGAUGAGAAGAACAGAGAGGCUAGGUGAGCUAUCUUGACUUUUAAACAGCUAGAAGCCCCUAUAAAUUCCUCCACGACCCCAAAAGUUGGUGUUUUUAAAUUAAAUUUAAAUUACUUAACAAUUUUAUACACACUUAACCUUUUUAUUUUGUUAGUGGAUGUUGUAUUUGUUUGGUAACUUACAACAGGUUCAAAUUAGAUAUCUGAAUAUUUAUCUUCAUGAUUUAGAGUGAUUCUCACAGAGGAUGGGAUGUUCCUGAGGGACACUGGCUCCUUACCUGUAAGCAUCACUGAAGAGCUAGGCAAUGGGUCUGGAAUGGCUUCUAGCUCUGUCAAUGCAUUUUGUCAGGGUUGCCUUCUACACUUCUGAUGUGUUCAUACCGAGCAUCAUCAGAAUCUUCUAGAAGGGAAGGAGAGCUCCACUAGAGGUGUGUUCACACUGAAGGGGAGAGCUCCACUAGAGGUGUGUUCAUACUGAAGGUGAGAACUCCACUGGAGGUGUGUUCACACUGAAGGGGAGACCUCCACUAGAGGUGUGUUCACACUGAAGGGGAGAGCUCUACUAGAGGUGUGUUCACACUGAAGGGGAGAGCUCCACUAGAGGUGUGUUCACACUGAAGGGGAGAGCUCCACUAGAGGUGUGUUCACACUGAAGUGGAGAGCUCCACUAGAGGUGUGCUCACACUGAAGGGGAGAGCUCCACAGAGGUGUGUUCACACUGAAGGUGAGAACUCCACUGGAGGUGUGCUCACACUGAAGGGGAGAGUGCACUAGAGGUGUGUUCACACUGAAGGGGAGAGCUCCACUAGAGGUGUGUUCACACUGAAGGGGAGAGCUCCACUAGAGGUGUGUUCACACUGAAGGGGAGAGCUCCACUAGAGGUGUGUUCACACUGAAGGAGAGAGCUCCACUAGAGGUGUGUUCACACUGAAGGGAAGAACUCCACUAGAGGUGUGUUCACACUGAAGGGGAGAGCUCUACUAGAGGUGUGUUCACACUGAAGGGGAGAGCUCCACAGAGGUGUGUUCACACUGAAGGGGAGACCUCCACUAGAGGUGCUGUUCGCACUGAAGGGGAGAGCUCCCCUAGAGGCGCUAUUCACACUGAAGGGGAGACCUCCACUAGAGGUGCUGUUUGCACUGAAGGGGAGAGCUCCCCUAGAGGCGCUAUUCACACUGGCUUCACCAGGCUCCUGUACCUACUGGUAUUUUGUUGUUAUAUUCCUUCCUUCAAGGACCCUUUUUUCCUAAAAUCUUGGAAACACAUCCUUCAGUGACUCUUUCAUCCAAGACCCAUUAGAAGUCAGUUCUCUUAGUCUUUGGAAGUGUCUUCCCUAAGGGUGAGGUCUGUGAGAUUUGACUUCUACAUUAAAGCUCUUGGCCAGAAGGUAGCACAUGUCCUUGGCCCCAGAACUUGGGAGGCAGAAGCAGGCAGAUCUCUGUGAAUUUCAGGCCAGAAUGGUCUACAAAACAAGUUCCAGGAAAGACAGGGCUAUUACAUAGAGAAACCUUGUGUCAAAAAAUAAAACAAAACUAAAAGUUUUUGAUGAAUAAUUAUUUUGUAAUUUAUGAACCCAUAAAUACAUGGAUAAUAAAGGAGACAAAAAUAAAACCCUUGGAAGCCCCCAAAAAACGUGACCAAGAAAAAGUAUCAAGCAAGUUGAAGAAAGUCAAACUUAAAGCUGUCUUGCUUUUUGUUGAAGGAUCAUUAAGAAUGCAGACAGUGGCAGCAUCAGACAGAGCUGUACAUGGGAGUGAAGAGCAUGGCUUGAAACAGGGAGGAUCAGGACCCAGGAGAAAAAUUGUUUCCCUAGACGCCUUCCUCACCUCUUGCUCCUGGUGAUGUAUCUCAAUCCUAGCAAAAGAAUGAUAUUUACUUUCCAGAGAAAGUAAGAUAAAAUCCACUGGGCUAGAUGGUACAGACUGAGUUACACAUGUGUCCACCACAGGAUCCAGUGGAAGGAGAUGAUGCUGCUCACUCAGCUUUCAGAGGGGUUUCAUCCAGAAUCUUUCCUUCCUGGUAAAAGAACUGGAAAGAUAGAAAAACCAUCUCUGAGGACUGUGAUGGGUCCAUAAAUAAAAAAUAACCAUCCUGAUACCUAGGUUUCCUAAGCACUUGACUCAGCCCGAUCACUGCCCUGACAUUUACUCAGAACCUCCCAUCAACUUUUUAAAUUCUCCACAAAUAGACAUGAUCAGACACCCAAGACAGACAAGGGAGGACUCUAACAUGCAAGAUAGAGAUCAACUAGGCAAACUACAAACAGAGAAAAUAAAUAAAUGAAACAGUUUGGAGGAAAAAUAAAUUAUAUUUGGAGAGAAAACUUCAAAAUAAAGUUAUUAUUAAUGUCCUUAAAGAGAUGAACAAUGAUAUGAAAUCCCAGAAACAAGGUUGGAAUGUUACUUCAAAAGCCACAUUCAGGAAACAUAAAAGUCUCAGAGAUUAAAAACAUGGCAGAAUUGAAACUCUCAACAGAAAGCUUGGAAGGGUGUGUUGAAUCUAACUCCUAGGAAACAGCAAAAAGGCAAUAGAAAAAACAGAACCAAUGGUUAUAUAGAAUAUAACUAUAACUAUGUAUUUAUGUUUGCUAUUAUAUAAAAACAUAUUAAAUUGUACACUAUAUUAUAGACCAUUGUAUUUUUAUGAGGAAGCAAAGGCAGGCAGGUCUCUGUGACAUCAAGGCCAGUCCUGUCUCAAAAAACAAAACAAAACAACACUGUAUUAAGCAAUCUAGGAAAGUCAAUAUCUACAUGGAAUAGCAGAAAAAGAGAAUAAAGAAAAUUAAUGAGGAAAAAAUAAUGAUUUAAGAAAAAGUCUGUGAGCUUCCAGAUUGAAUAGCUCACAAAAUUCUCAGAACAAUGCAUGAAAUAGACUCCUACAAAGGCAUAGCUUUAAGAACUUCCAAGCACGGGGCAGGAAGAUCUUAAAACCCUUUAAAAGGCAAAUUCAAGUCAUAGACACUAAAAAACCAAACAGACUUACAAUAUGUAAACAUUGAUGAUUGAGCUAAAUAAAACUAUAUUAUGACUAUUAAAAUAUGAGGGUCUGGGAAAUGUACAUGUACAUAGUUGGAACAAAAGGAGAGAACUCCCUAUCAGCUAUUUUUCUUUCUGUUUUGUCAAAACACCCAACCGCAGCAACUUAGGAAGGGUCUAUUUGAGUUCAAGGUUUAAGAAAGGAAAUGGUCUAUCAUGGCAGAGAAGAUGGCUCUUGGUAACACUGCGCCUGUAGUCAAGAAACAGAUACAAACACUGAUUUUUUUAAAAAAAAUUCAGUGCCUAGCUUAUGGAAUUGUGCCACCAAUUCUAGUUCUCUAAUUUCUCUAGAAGUGCCCUUACAGAUUCCCACAGAGGUUUGUUUCCAAAUCUUCAUCUUAUGAUAUGGAAAUACUUAUUUUGUUAUGCUCUGGCCUCUACUGAUUUUGAUGAGAAGUUAUUGAAAGUCUAGUUGUUGGUCCUCUGUAUGGAAUCUGUAUUAUCUGAAUGUCUUAAAGACUUGCUGGUGUCAAUUACCUUUCUGUGGUUUCCCCCAAUUUUCAAGUCAUGGUGAAGAUCUAAAGGGCCUUGCUAAGUAAGAUUUAGGAUCUUUUAAGAAUCCUUAUAGUGGGGUUGGGGAAAUGGAACUGUCAGUAAAGUGCUUGCCACAUAAAAAUGAGGAAUGGAAUCCCCAGCGCACGCACACACACCACACACACACAGAAAGAGAGAGAGCAGGUUUAUCAGCAUGUACCUCUGAUUUCAGUACAGGGGAAGUAGAGACAGGAUGAGUUCCAGGUUCAGUGAGAAACCAUGUCUCAAAAUAUAAAGUGGCCUCAACUAUGUGUGCAUAUACAUAUACAUGAACAUGUUCUCUCUCUCUCUCUCUCUCUCUCUCUCUCUCUCUCUCUCACACACACACACACACACACACACACACACACACACACACACACACGUGUUGUACAGGGGUGCAGUUGCUUACUGGGCUCAUCAACAUCCCUGGAUGAAAAUUUCUACCCACAAGGUUAAAUCAAUGGAGACAGUAGAAGAGCCUCUGGAAAACAUUCAGAGUCACCAUGAGUAAUGAAUGAGUCUUUCCUCAGAAAAAGCAUACUCAGUGGGUACAAGGUUAUGAAACGCUGUUGAUUUUGGAAAGAACUGAAACCAAUUUGGGCCUUGCAAUUCUUCCAGGAGCAUAGCAGGAAGGAUUCUAUAAGGCUUCCCCAUCAUUUCAUUGCUGCCUCGUUUUCCCUUCCAUCCCCAAACUAUGGAAGAGUUGAGAGGAGAAUCGUGUGAGCUGAUUGUCACUGGUAGUCUGUGUGAGACUCAACAGUGGCAAUAGGUACAUUUAGAAUUGAACCGCUAGCAAUUUAUCUUACCUGAAAUCAAGAAUAGUGGAAUAGAUUUGUUGGCAGCAAAAUUCUCACAAGCUUGUUUUAUUUGGAAAAAGGUUUUCAGAAUCACUUUCUUCUACUUUAGAGGAAAAAAAACACACUGUCAACGAAAAUGCAAAUGAAGAGAAUAACCAAGUGAUAAUUAGCAUAGGAUAUUUUGACACCCGAAAUUCCUUCAUCUCCCAUUGACCUUGAACAAGUCAUUUCAGCACAGCCUUACCGCCACAUGUUUGGGAAGUUUAUUAAAUUCACUCUGUGGACUGUCUGCUGCAUGUGAAAAUGAAGUGCAAGACAUUUUGUUCCUUUCAAAUUUAUAGAGAGUCUGUAAAAUAACAUAUUCAGCAAGAACCAUCAAAUGUUCACUUUUGCGCACAAAUGGUAGUCCAAAUAAUCAAACAGAACUUUAUAUAUAAAUGUUAGCAUCAUCCCUGUUAUGACUUUCAAAAGCCUAAACACAGUGGUUCCCAGUUGCAAAUGCAACUCCACCCAGUGCAUCCUGCCUCCUGUUGUCUUGGUGACCCAUUGGUAUUGAAUACAGAGGAGGGGAAGUAACUCAGCAAAUGAGCAAGAGGGCCAAUCUUCCCUUCUUGCCAGAACCCUUGCAUUUUGUUUCCUAAUCUUGUUCAUCCUCAUGCAAUUAAGCUGCAAAACAUGCUUCUCCAAGAACCUGUCAAAUGUACGACUUUCAAAGAUCGCGCUGGAGUUGAAGAAGCUUGAUCCUUUACAUACAAAUGGCAUUUAGUUUACUCUAAGAGGAAAAUGAUAAAUCCAUCAAGACUUUCGGGCUUAAAUUGCUUUCAAGGACCCUCAACUUAAUUAAAAGAGGACAAUAUACAAAAGAAGUUGACCUUUUCCAUGUAAGCUCUAAAUAUGCCAUCAUUAAUGAAUUUCAUUACAGGAGAGACUACAAUGAACAACUGUAGUUCAGUUCAGCAUUUAAGUGCAGAUAACAAACUGGCAGACCAGUGGUUAUCAUUUUAAGUAGUUAAAACACUGUGACUAAGCCAUUCUCCUAAAAUGGACAAAUUAAUAUAUUCUAAAGAAUACAUUUUAUUUAGAAUGUAGGGGUCAUAUUAAUGAUCUCUCAUUCUCCUUUCAGAGAGGAAGAAUUAUGGGGCUGACUGGGUUUCCUUCUUUGCAGUUGUGUGAACCUUCAUUAUGCUACCCCCUUGAAGGGAAUUAGUUUUACAGUAACGAAUAAAUAGCUAAAACAAAAUUUGACAUUGUAGUGGGAGAAAAAAAAAACCACCUAAUUUUAAGAGCAAAUGUCCAUUAUAAUGUGCUGACAAAUUCAAAGCAUCCAUUCUGAGCAACGAAUGCACAAGGAAACUCCACAACAGUGGGUAACAGAAAGGAGAUAUCCUGACUGGAUUUUUUCCUAAAAUCUCACCUCAAGUACCAAGUACUCUCCUUCAACAGUUCUACAUAUCUUUCAACAGUUACUCUAAAAAUGAAAUGAAGGAAAACAAAACACUGUCUGUGAAAGACCCUGCCCCUCUGUCUUCCCUGCCUGUGCCGGUGCUGGGUGUUCUCUCUGGAGCAGGCGGGAGGAGCAGAUGACUGAGAGCAGCGCGGUGGGGACUGAGCAGGGCCAGGGUUCGGCCAGGGCUGGAGAAUGCAGUGCGGGCGGCGCCUGGAAGGGGAAAUUGAGUGGGAGAGCAGCGAUGGUGCUGCUUGUCCAGGAGCUGCGAGCGGGGAGCCUCCUCCAAGGCCAAGGACACGGGGGGGGCUGCGGAGCUGCCGGGGCCUCCCAAGCCUUCACCCUGGCAGGGCUCGCGCCCCCGGCCCGCCCCGCCUGGCACCGCGCCUCGGGGCUGGGGCCGGGCAACGAGCACCAGGUGGGCCGGCCCAAGGGCGAGCACCAGGUGCGUUGGCCCGAGGGCGAGAGCACCAGUUAGGCCUGCCCGGGGCCCCGCCCCCACACCCCCACCUGAUGAGAAAUACUCCGUCCCAAGGUCUCCACCCCCAAGGUCAGCCAUCUGGACGCGGAGGGGGGGAAUUGAGUCUGUUGUACCAAACACCAGACCUUGAGAAUAUGCUGAUCUGGAAUGGCUCUGUGUCUCAUUUGAACCAUCCAAUAGAAAUGAUUCUGUGUUUUGCCUCAUUUGAAUGACUCUGUAUUUCACCUCAUUUGAAUAACCCUGAGUAGCGCCUCAUUUACAUUGACCAAUGGGAAUAGCUCUGUACAAUGCCUCAUUAGAAUUAUCCAAUAGAAUCCCUGCUUCUAGCUUGCGCCUUUUUCCUAUAUAAGGACCCCUUUCCCUUGGCUCGGCGCACUUGGCCUCACAGAAGCUAAGUCGCCCGGGUACCCGUAUCUCCAAUAAAGCCUCUUGCUUUUGCAUCCAAGUCCGUGGUCUCGCUGAUUCCUGGGUGCGGGUCUCCUUCUACGAAAGUACCUCUUCAGGGGUCUUUCAUGAAAGGAAUUAGUUAAGAACAGGGUAGGCGGGGCUAGAGAGAUGGUAAAGAGCACUGGCUGCUCUACUGAAUUCAGGUUCAGUUCCCAGAUCUACAACAAACAAUUAAAUUUCAAGAAAAAUAAUAAUAACUUUUUAUUUUUGUUUUUCGAGACUGGGUUUCUCUGUGUAGCUUUUGAGCCUGUUGGAACUCAUUCUGUAGACUAGGCUGGUCUAGAACUCACAGAGAUCCUCCUGCCUCUGCCUCCUGAGUGCUGGGACUGAACCAUCACCUGGCCUGUAAAAAAAUCUUUUAACUAAGAACAUCAUAUGCAGAUGAAUUUGCUGCAGAAUUCUACAAGAGCUUUAGAGAUGUGAUGCUGAUCCCUUUAGCAUCAUUCCACAAAGUAGAAAUGAAGAAACAUUACCAAACUUUUUUUAUGGAGCUAGUAUUACCGUGAUAUCAAAAAUCAGACAGAUAACCAAGAAAGUUACAGACUGUAUCCUCAAUGAACAUAGACACAAAAAGUCUUACUAUAGCACAUUAAAAUUAAAUUCAAGACUGUAUCAAAAGGACCAUUAACUAUGAUUCAGUUAGCUUUGUUCCAAAACUGUGGGAACGGUUCAACAUAUGAAAAUCGGUAAAGAUGGCAAAGUUACUUGAAUGGACUCAAGCAUAGAAACCAUUGCAUCAUCUAAGUAGAUAUGGAACAGGUCUUGGACAAAAUUCAAUAUCUCUUCAUGGUAAAACUCCAAAGAGAUUAGGAAGAGAAGGAUCAUAUCUCAAUCCAAAAGGCUAUAUACAACAAACUAUAGUCAACAUUAUGUUAAAACAGAGAAAAUCUCAAAGCAGUUCCACUAAGUUCAGGACUAUUCCACACAGUACUUGAAGUCUAAACUAUUAUAGCACUAACAUAAGAGAAGGAAAUAAGAUGGAUGCACCAACUGAAACCACAGAAUUUCCCAGGGUUCCCUUGAUCUGAAGGAUUUAAAGAAGUGAGAGUCUGACUGUCAUGAACCUAAGAGUAAUAGAAUGUCUCUCUCCAUAUGCUCAAAACAAGUACAAUGCUGCCAGCAGUCCCUAGAGGAUUCUGUAACCUUCAUGACACAUUGCAUGGUUGCAGAUCAGCUCACUCAUGUCACACGCUCUUUCUGCUCAGAAUGCCUGGUUGUGUGGUGGCCAGUCCUCUAUUGAGGUUAGUCUCACAGUGUAACUGUCAGUGGGUAACACAUAAACUCAGUUUUAGUGAGAUUUAACAUUUUGGUCCCAGAGUUAGCUUCAGGAACUGCAGAUGGUAGACAAGCAAAUUAGAUUCUACUAGGAAGGCACAGUUGGAUAAAUUGAGAAUACAGACAAUCUGCAAGGCCCUAUUCUCUUCCAAAGCACUUUGGUAAGAGGUAACAAACAUUCUCGUGCACUUAGUCUAAUUGUAUUUGCUACUUUGAACAUAUGCAUAGCCCUGUCUUAGAAAACAACUUGUCCACUCCCAAAGGCAAUGUAAAUAAAAUCUAUGAACUCAAUAGGUGUUGAAUAGCUCAAAAUGAAUUGUUCAAGAAACAACAAAACACCAUUGUGCCUUUAGAAAUAAUAAGGAAGAAUUUGAUUCCAUGAAAUCAUUUGUUAGUACAGUAUGAGUAGUUAUUCUAGGCAUUGCAAAUUCAGGCUUAUUUGUAACCAAAUUACAGAGAUACAGAGGGAGGAUUUAAUCAUACUGUCAUGGUCAUGUUUUUUUCAAACUGGAGAGGCUGUGGUUUCUUUUAGUUUAUUAGUCCUCUGAGGUCACGAAAGCCCCUCUAACAGCUUGAAAUUAACUUGUGUACUUAAGGUAGCCCAAGACUAAGUUAGAAUUACAAUGUUAAGAUAGCUAGUGGGUACAUUCAAAUAAGUUAAUUAUAUUUAAAAAAAAAACACUUCCCCAUAUAUUUGCCACCCAAGGCUCUUAUGAGAUUUACUAUUUCAGCAAAAGUGGGGCUCAAACAUACAAUGAAAUUGACUAUAUUGCCUAGAACCACAAUGGUGCUAUUUCCAGGCCAUCUCAUUAGCAUAAAUAUUAGUAGCCAACCUAUUUGGAACGCCCUUGGAAAAGAAAUAUGUGAAGAAUAUCAAAAGAACAUAGCUCUUUUGGAGCAGGGCCUUGUUUACAAAACUUUACAACAAAGACCAACAUUAGAUGAGUGUAAUGGUUUCAUUACCUCCCCAGAGGACUAUAAAAAGAUGUCAAGUCACUUUAGAAUCUGCUGAGUUUGGAGUAAAUUAGCACAAAGUUGUACAAUGUCUUUUGCCUUGAGAAAGAAUAAACAUUUAGAAGAAAUUAGAAGCAAAGAUGAUUGCUUCCGAUUUCCUAUCUGGUGGGUCCUAAUAAAUUAAUAGGGUGCCAUCCAUACUUUGGCUUGAGGUGUUACUUACUCUUCAAAUGACAUCUGAUCUUGAGAAAUAAAGAUCUGCUCAGUCAUGCUUACUCCCAUGGGGCACCGCAGCUACUUUGUCCAGCUGAACUCACAGAGGGGCCUCAGGCCUGCACGAUGAACUAUAAUGAAGGCAGACCAAAGCAUUGCAGCAAAUGCAGUACCUUUUCUGUAAUAUAACUCUGUAAUAUUUAGUGUCUCCCAACCCCAAGGUCAGCUAGCCCUUUGAAACAGUCAUCCUAGUGGAAUCGCUAGAGUAGCAGUUUUCAACCUGUGGGUCGUGAUGCCUUUGGGGGUUGAAUGACCCUUUCACGGGGGUUGCACAUCAUAUAUCCUGCAUAGCAGAUAUUUACACUAAGAUUCAUAACAGUAGCAAAAUGACAGCUAUGAAGUAGCAAUGAAGAUGAUUUUAUGGUUGGGGGGUCAGCACAACACGAGGAGCUGUGUUAAAGGGUCAAAGCAUUAGGAAGGCUGAGAACCACUGCUCUACAAUAGAUUUGAAGUCUCUCCACCUCUGAUUUCCAUCGAAGAGGCAAGUUAGUCCUUGAGGCAUUGUUUUCUCAUCUGUGACAUGGUGAUAAAGUAACUUCAACUCUCAGAACCAUUGAAGGAAUGUAUGAGAAAAAUCACAAUGGCCCUCAGAAUUUGGUCUUCGUACCACCUUCACCCUCAAUGCUCUACAUCUGCUGCAGAUGUUUUGAUGGAGGGGUAAUCAGCCUUUGUGAGGGACUCCAUGUCCUAGUUGGUGACAGGAAGGCAAACUGAUGUAAAGUAUCAUCUAAUAUCUGUGAGGACUUCUACUGUGGGCUCCAGAAUUCCUCAGGGAGUCAGGAUGCAGGCACCUCAGCAGCCCUUUGCAGAGUAAAAAUUUUCCCACAUGAUCUAAUAUCACACCAUUCUGUGGUCAGCAUGGCUUUGGUUCCACUUUGUUCUCUACAGUUGUUAAGGCACAGCGGGCGGUGGGGUGGGGCUGCUCACACUAUGCUUGAGAACAGGGAAGGGAAAUUAUGGUUUUAUUCUGUUUAUAAGCAAAUUAACAGCCCCACACUGUUCUCAUCGGGUCUAGGGCAACUGACAGCAUGUCCCUAAGGUCCUGAGGCACCCAUCAGUUCAGGUCAAGCUAGUUCCUUGUGACUUAUGAUAAUGGCUCUCCUUAUGGAGGAAACGGGUUCCCACCUGACAUGAGGGGGAAAAUGAUGUUAGUUUGGGUAUCUAUUAUGAUGCUAUUGCUCUGAAAAUGAGUGGGAAGGGGCCUAGAAAACGUGGAAUUGUACUGGUGUUCAUUGCUGCACUAGUCACAUAACUAGGUUACAGAGUCAUCCUGACGCCAUCUGUGGAUGAGUGGGAAUAGAAAAUGUGCCUUAGGGCUUGGGAGGUGGCUUGCUGUGUGAGUCUGAUGCUCUGAUGGUGGAAGAUGAGAACAGACUCCCAAAAGUUGUCCCCUGAUCCCCACAUGCAGGCUAUGGCAUGCACAUGGUGUACAUGUAUGUGUGCUUGCACACAUGAAUGGGUGUGUAUGCACUCACACCCCCCCCCACAAACCACAGAUAUACUAUUAAUACUACCACUGCUAAGAGUAAUAAACAUUUUUAAAAGAGAGAAGGUGGCAUAUAGACACAGCAGGGUAUUAUUCAGCUGCACACAAGAAUGAAGUCAUGGCAUUUGCAGGAAUAGAGAUGGAGCUGAAGAGCCUUAUCUUAAGUGAAACAAAGCAGAUCCAGAGAAACAAACGCCACAUGAUUUCUAUCAUACACAGUAUCAAUUUUCUAAAAAAUAAAUGGGACUAGAAGGAUGUAUGUUUGUUGGCAGAGGUGCUUAUAGGGGCAUGGAGGGAGGCAAAAAAUGUUAAAAGACGAGUGGAUAUGAUUGCAGUUCUUGGAUGGAAAUGUCACAAUGAUGUCAUACAAAUGACAUAUGCUAAUAGAAUUUUUUCUUUUAAAUCACUGGCAGUGCUAGGGAGAUGGCUCAGUAGGUAAAAUGCUUGCUAUCCAAGCACAAGGCCCCAGGUUCAGAUCCCCAGCAGCCACAUAAGAAUAAAAAAGGGGGUCAGGGAGUAUUUAAUGUGCCUGUAAUCCAGUGCUAGCAGUGGGGUGGAGGGGAGAGACAAGUCAUGCUCUGAGCUUACUGGGCAGUCAGUGUAGCCAAGGGCAGAGCACAUAUUCAGGGAAAGACCCUGUCUCAAAAAACAGUUUAGAAAGCAGUAGAGGAAGACCCUGCAUUGACCUGUGGUCUCUGUACACAGAAAUGCCCACGCAUACACACACACACACACACACACACACACACACACACACACACACACACACACCAAAAGCAAUAGAUUUUUAAAACUCAAGGGUUCUCUGACAAUACUUUCAUUCAGCAAAUGUGCUGCUUUUUCCUCUUGUUUUCUUACCGGUGUCUGAUAAUUUAUUGAGUUUGUAUGCCAUGCAUUUAAAAUAAAUUCAAAUCUUCCUGGGAUUAAAGAAAACGCUUAUGCUCCUAGAACUCUUGUGUGGCUGAGCAACAUGGUAGUGCAUGUUUAUAGUCUCCUCACCGGACUGGAUUUACUUUGGGGAAAUGUCUUCUCUACAGAGCCAGUCUGAUGUUUCCAACGGCCAAACAUCAUGGAAUUAGUUUUUGAAGGGGAAAAAAUCACACUAUUAAAACUGUUAGCAAAAAAGAAAUCACCGAGAGGCCUUUGCUGAGCACAGAGCCUGUCUGGGGCCAAAGCAGCUGAGGACACACUGAAGGAGCUUGGCCGUUAGUGGCCAACGGAAAUUCUGAAGCAUAGCUAGAGCCAGCUCACCGACCAGCCCAACCACAGACAGCAGCCUGCAGCUGCAGGCUCUGGGAGGCAAACUGUGGCCAUGAAAAGAGCGAAGAUUUGGACACACACACACACACACACACACACACACACACACACAGUCAGAACAAGUCCAGUUGCCCAGUGGUGUCCAAACAAGGCAUUCUUUAGGAAAAAAUUUUAAAAAAUGACAACUCUGCAUUUUGGACAGAAAGUGUUCUGGUUUAUUAAUACCCUUUAUUUUUAUAGCCUGCACAUUUACUUUUUAAUCAUUUGUUUCUUGUUUGUGAAAGUAGUUUGCCUAAGCAUCUAAUGUCCCUAUUGAUUGCAUUCAUCAACAUUUGUAUUAUGGUAUCACUUUCUGGUCACUAUGGUGUUUACUUUUGUCUGUAGAUUUUAUUGUUUAAUUUACACAUAAGAUAAACUGUUGUGUGAUAUUUUGAUUGUGUUCUGAUAAAUAAAGCUUGCUUGGAGUCAGAGGGCAGAGUUAGCCACUAGCUGACCAAAAUUAACUACACAGAGGUUUUGGAAGACUGAGGAUAGAUAGGACAGGAAGUAGUAAGGUGGGCAGAAAGGGAUCUGGCUCACUGUCUGGAGGAAGGGACAGAGCAGGUAGGGAUGACUGGUGGCUUCUCUGAUCUUUCAAGCUCUUACCCCAAUAUCUGACUUCUGAAUUUUUAUUGAUAAAGAAUAAUUAGAACAAUGCUUCAUCAUACAGGUGUACAUAGUUAUAGGAUGCCAUGUGACAUUCUGGUAUGUUCAUAUGUUGUAUCAUCUUUAAAUCAAAUAAUCAUAAUGUGCAUUGAAGAAUACAAAUUAUAUCUUUUAAAAAUGUGUGUAUAUAUUUUGCUUGCAUGAGGCCAGAAGAAUCUUCAAGAGGUCAGAAGAGGUCAGAGGCCAGAAGUUUGACACUAGCUUGCAAAGCCUCAUAGGGCUGCUAUUAAGAAAGAAAUAAAGGAAGAAAGGAAGGAAGGAAGGAAAGGAGGAAGGAAGGAGGGAGGGAGGGAAGGAAGGAAGGAAGGAAGGAAGGAAGGAAGGAAGGAAGGAAGGAGGGAAGGAAGGUGCAUUUGCAUCCGAGACAAUUCCAAAGUUCCACAGUCAGUGUGUUAUGAGUCAUGAGACCUUUAUUUUCUUUCCUUUUUUUUUUCUUGUCUGUUCAUUCCUUUGUUUGUUUUUGAGAUAUGAUCUCCCCAUAACACAGACUGGCUUUAAACACACCAGGUAGUUAAGGAUCGCUUUGAACUCCUGAUCCCUUAUCCUGUAGCCUCCACUUGCUAUUUUCAGUGCCUAGGUUAUAGGCAUAUGCCAUGACACCCAGGUAGUAAUCUUUUUCUUAACUAGUAUAAGCCAGUUUGUGUCUGAAUGAGGCCACAUUGUGAGGACUAGUUAAGGAUUCACCUAAGUGGACAGGAAUUCAGUUAUACGACCAAAACUCCUGGAUUGCUGGAAACAUCUGGAGGGCUGACUCUGAAAGACACAGUCUGAGCCCCAACUGAUAUUUUUCUUGGUGUACAUCCCCGUGUGAGUCAUAAGUGAGCUAAAAAUGGAGUGGCAAAAGGAGACAAUGAAAGCCUGGGCAAAGCAGAGCUCCCCACCACCAAUUACCAUAUGGGUGGCUUCAACUGCUCAGAGUGUGGAACCAGGAAGCGACACUCAAGGCAGUGCUGGGGGCACAAUGAUGAGCAUAGUGGUGUGUGUGUGUGUGUGUGUGUGUGUGUGUGUGUGUGUGUGUGUGCGCGCGCGCGUGCGCAGUAGGGGACUGUGGGGAGACUUGUCUCUUCAGAGUCAAGGCACAAAAGGCACAAGGCAGAUGGGGGGUGGAAGGUAGGGUGGAAGAGCAUAGCCCAAACAAGGGAACCUUGGUUUGAGGCUGGUAGGGAGUAGGAGUAGCUAGAAAGAACUCUGCCCCGUGUUUGCGUAAGUAGAACUUCAUUCAUUCCAGCAAGGCAGAGAGAGGCUUCAGCAUUUGUUAUUCACAGUACACAGUGGUUUUGUUUGUAUGUUUGUUUGUUUGUUUUUCAACAGUAGUGAUCAGUGUUCUGCAUUUUACACAUAAACAGGAAUAAGGAGUGACUAGGGCAUGGAAGGAAAUGCCUGAGAAGAAACUACUUUGUGAUCAAUACCUUAAAAUUGUCAGCCAUGACACAGAGAGAGGUGCAGCCUUAACCCAUCCCUCACAAUAUUCUGAAAGAGUACUUUUCCUUUUUAGAGGCCUUUCUCUGCUCAGUCAAAACCAGUAUUCAUGGUGUCAAGAGGAGGAGGUUAGCAUUGCAAGCUUAGCCAUUAUGCAGCAGAGUUAGAGAGAGAUGUUUUAGUGUAAAUCUAAGCAGGUUAAAAAGAAAAAGACACCAGGGAAGGAAUAGUAGACACACCCAACGGUGGGAUGGGUUUCUCCAGGGAGAGUCACAGUUAGGCUUCUUUACAACAGAUACAGAUAGGAGUUUGGUGGCCUUCAAGUUACAUCUGUAAAGGUUGCUAAGAAGCCUCUCUUUUAUUUUAACACCAGCCCCAAAAUGUAGUUUAUGGGAGGAUGGGAGGGAGAAGGAACUUGGAUUGAUAUGUAAAAUAAGAAUUAAUUAAAAAAAGAAAGAAAAAAGUUAAAGAAUCUUCUUUAAUAAAUAAAUUUGUAAAGUGGACUUAUGAAGGGCAUUGUUUAGACUUAGCCAAGAGAGGGGGGAGCCCACAGACAACACUUUACUUGCCACAUUCAGAAUCACUCUUGGAGAUGUCUCUAGACAAACAUGGGUUCCUCAGUAGAUAAUGUUGACUUUAUCAGUUUCCUGACACCAUCAGUUGGACAGGCAAGCUAGGCCCAGAAACAAUGGGCAAUUUUCCUUUCCUGGCAUGCCUCAAUGUUCCCUGUCUUUUUACCCUGCCUCAAAAUCAUGCUCCUGUCAUGAGGAAUGGCCCACAUACGUGCAGAUGAAAUACUGCUACUAUGCUGAGAGUGUCAAGAAAAGAAUUGAUCCUUCUUCGUAUUACCACACCAGGAAGGAGAUACCAUGAUCUUGUCUGCUCCCAAAGGAGGUUAACUGAAGCUCAGGGAAGCAUCUUUCCAAGCUCUCCACCACCAGCCACGCAGCCAGUCCUGUCUGACUCUGAAAUCCUGAGGUUGUCAAUUUCCUCUGUUGUCAUCUUUAAAUCACUAGUUUCCAAGCCCUUCCACAUACACCACAAUAGUUGGACUUCCCAAUGACUCAGCAAGCAAAGUUGGUAUCAGACCAUAGCUAGCCUCUGUGGUUUUAUCAUCACAGAAGUGCACAUGAUAAUGGUGUCUAAAUCACUCACAGGGCCAUAGUUUCAGAAAAAUUACGGGAUGCGGAACUAUGCCCGUAAUGCAGAAACUAACACCUUUAACUGAGAUGUGGAGCAGCUGGUGGAGACUGUUCUACAGGCCAAGAGUGAAGCUGGGGAGGGGAGAGACUUUCCCCAAGAACAUCAGCCUGGAAUGAAUGGAGCUGGGAUUUAGGGUCAUUUAGGGCUAAGAAUCCUUUGCCCUGUAUCUUCUCAGUUCCAAGUGGUUCAUGACUUUGCUCCACGGCCUUCAGGGUCUUGCCUUCCCCAGGGCUCCUGGCUGCUAGGAUGACACACAUUUCCUCUGGCUGAAGAUGUGUGGAGACUCUGCCUGGAAGCUUGGGAAAGGAAUUUUCCCCAUUUUGUAGUCAGAAACAGCUUAGAAAAGUAUGACUCAGAGCACUUCUUCUUCCUAUUUCCCACAAGCAAGGUCAUGCACUGGGUAUGUUGCCUGAAGGCCUGAUGGUGCAUGAAAUGAUGCACCAUGGAAAUGAAGACAUGUAGCUGAAGAUGCCUGGCUAUAAUCGUGAGUGAGCAACUUUGCAGUAUGAUGAGCCAUAGAGGGAGAGAAGAGUGGAGGAGGUAAAUGUUUUCAGGGGGCCCAUGGGCUGCUGCGGGGGAGAUAUGCUCAGUACCUCAUUCUAAACACUGGUCAGUGGGAUGCUAUUGGAUGAAAAGGAGACAAGGGAGGCACAAAUGGAUGGAUGGAAGGAUGGAUGGACGGACGGAUGGACCAAUGGAUGGAUGGCGGACAGACAGACAGAUUCCCUCUCAUAGGAUUUGCACGUGCAGCAAUAAGAUGCUAGAGCUGAUUGCUAAUUGCUUAAAUAUAUGAAGAAAUUUCAAGAGAGGCAGAACUACAAACAUUUUUCUGAAAGAAUGCACUCCAGUGUCUGCCUUUGACUUCCUUCUUAUAGAGGCAAUCCAAGGGCUCACCUGCUCCAACAGGAGAGUCUAGAAGAUGGUUGUGAAAACAGCAUCAAAUUAGAAGCAGUUGCACCUUGCUAUAGAAUGGAGAGCAAUAAGUGAGGCCGCUGUAGCUCAGAGUUCUGUAUGUUUUGUCCAUGCUCACUGAGCCCUAGUGCCACCAGUUAUGAAACAGUGGCAAGUCCCAGAAGAGACCCAUGGAAAGGAAAUGGAAAAGAAAACAAAUGAGCUCCCACAACGAGUUAAGUCCAGAGGCCACAAUUAAAGGGAAAUAAUAACGACACCCAGAGAUCCUGGGCUCUAACAUAUCCUGGAAAGGAAGCCCAGGUCCCCAUACCUCUGAGGCAUCUUAUGUGGUAAUGAGGUGGAGGAGGGCCACAGAAAGCUCAGCAGAGUGGAUUAAACUCCUGCUAAGAAUCAGAGCUCAGACCCUCAUCACUUGCGCCUGCCUCAGGGGCAUCCCCAAGGACCCUGCAAGACAAGGAUGCUGGGAAACUAAAGCUCUCCAGAGCAGUGACUGGUGCAAAUUCUCACCAUGACUGGGCUGAGAUUUCAACACAAGUCUACUGGAUUACAAAGCCUGGGCUAGUUCCUCUUCGCCACACUGUCUAGUAGGCAAACAACACUGCUGUUCUCCAAUAAGCAUUCUGGAAACAAAAAGAAUUGUAACUAUAUUAAACACUUUCCAUAAGCCGUG